AGGCCUGUAAAGCUGCUGAAGACGACAACAGAACACGACAACAGUGACGACAAGCCGGCUGUCUGAUCGCACUGACCCAUCAGUUCAGCAAAGCCGCCCAGAGGAAGCCGGCAGGUUCCAGUCACAAACUGCAUGAGGCGCAGUCGCACCUCAUUAUCCACCUCCUUCACCAGCUGAAAGCAGAAGAUGGACGGAAAACAGGACUUCAAAAACACACACACACACACACAUACAAGCCUUCAAAGGUGUGUGAACAGUCCUGCAGGUCCACCUCCUGCAUCCCACACAGCAUCACCUGCAGCGAGCAAACACAUCCAGGAGGAGAGGAAACGUCUUUGAUGAUCCUCCACAGUUUAUGGCAAAUAGAAUUACUGGAGCCACUGAAGUGGAACCACCUCGUUAAAGCCGUCCAGGAAGGCUUUGGUCUGACCUUCAACCCCGCGGGAGAACCUCCACUCUGCCAUUUGACUGCAGAGACACACCAAACCACAUUCAGACUCCAAACUCAUCUUCAGCUGUUAGGUCUUGGACCAUGAACCAAACCUGAUGUACUCCUCCUUGUUCUCCUCAGUCACUUGGAUGUUGGCGCCGUCAGGUUUGAGGUCGUGAGACGUGAUCUUCCCCAAGAUCUCCAUGUCGACUGAGAAAAACAUCUCCAGCCCACAUUCCUCAAUGUUGUUGUCCCUGAAAGACGAUGACAUUUCGUUUCUUAUACGCACUGGUGAACAGAAAUCAGUAGAUCCUCUGCAUCCAGGUUUAAUAGCACUUUUCCUGUUUCCAACAUGUGGUAUUCCUAUUGAUCUUUAAUGGAGAACGUGCUGUGCAGAGUGAACUAACACUGUUGUGAGCAAAAACAUUCCAAAUCCCCCAACGUAUCAGAACUGAUACCAUCUUUAUUUCGUUAAAAAAUUAGAUUGCAAUAUUUUAUAUGGAUUUCAUCAAAGAGUUUCAAAAACAUCUCAACUACUAAACACCUGAAUUUUCUGUCAAUUCUUUGAUGUAGUAAAUUAAAAUGAUAAACUGGUGAGACGUUUAGAUUUUACUGUAGUCUUAUGAAUUACUGUGGAAUGAUUAGCACGUCAACACAAACUCAGACCACUUUGACAAAGUGCUGAUGAGCAAACAUGAAAAAAACUCAACAUGUCAGAUAAAAAUUCAAAGUUUUAGGAUCAUGAAAAUGUUCCCAAACAUACAGUAUUUUCAUUUUGUAUUUUCUUCUAGAGCCGUGUUUUUCAACCUCUUUUGAGCCAAGGCACUCUUUAUCCUGCGGCACACCAGCAUCCAAAGAUUGAAUAAAAGAGAAACUCAUA